AGGGCACCGUACCUAUUCUGCAACUGUGGACCUGUAGGUGGAGAAGGAACUGCUGUCCAUGUGCCAGAAGUCAUGUUAGGCAAGGGACUGCCUAUGGUGGGCACACAUACGUCUGUAUGGGAGUCUGCAUGCAGCAAUGGCAGUGUGGCUGAUGGUGGCAGGGGAUCAAAUGUCCAUGAAACAACAACCACAGUGAGCGAGGUUAUUUUCAUCUCAUAAUUUCUAAUCAAUAUUGCAUUCAGCAUCACACCAGCUUGGAAGAGCCUGGGGAACCUCAUGGAUAACAUGCUGAGUCAGCAGUGCUCCCCGAUGGAGAAGAUGAAAGCAUACUGAAGACGCAUAAGCAAGAGUGUAACCAGCAGGUGGAGGUAGAAAGGAGGCAGAUAACAGCAUGUCAGAGAAGAGUGAGGGCUGGCUGCUCCCUGAAGUACAGAGAUCCUGGAGUCAAGAGCAGUAGUACUGCCAAGAAGGGAAGAAGUAUUUGGUUUCUCGGUUCCUAAAAGCCCUUUGUUCAUGGUGAAAGUGGUGAAACAUGAAGAAUGACCGUGAUGUCUCAGAGUUCAUAAAAACUUAUUUGUGUGAAGAGCUUUCCACGAAAAAUUUGACUCACCUCUUCCAUUUAAUUUUGUUUUGAUCCACGUUGUAUGUAACCUUUCUACCAGCUAUCAAAAGCAGCCAAAAGGGUUGUUCAAUGAACUAUGAAAGAUGUCAGAUUAUCGGUACCUUUAAUGUAGGAUUUUAUUUAAUGAAUAAAGACACAUGAAUUUUCU
rnacentral:lncRNA from 7 species